rnacentral:pre_miRNA from 1 species
CGACGCUGCACAGGCCGUCCUCCCCAACAACAUCCUGGUGCUGAGUGAUGGCACAGGUGACUCCAGCAUCAGUGAUUUUGUUGAAGAGGGCAGCUGCCA